CAACCCUCAAGCUCUGCUUGGUAUUAGGCGUCGCCUGUCAAGGCGCGCCCCAAAACUAGUGGCGGUGCCAUCUGGCUUCAAGCGUAGUAAUUCUUCUCGCUUCGGAGAACCAGUUGUGUGCUCGCCAACAACCCCAAAUUUUAUCAA
rnacentral:misc_RNA from 1 species